GCUUACGGCCAUACCACCCUGAAUGCGCCGAUCUCGUCUGAUCUCGGAAGCUAAGCAGGGUCAGGCCUGGUUAGUAAGGAUGGAGACCGCCUGGGAUACCAGGUGCUGUAAGCU
rnacentral:rRNA from 1 species